rnacentral:rRNA from 1 species
CCUACGGGUGGCUGCAGUAGGGAAUGUUGCGCAAUGGGCGAAAGCCUGACGCAGCAACGCCGCGUGAUCGAGACGACCUUCGGGGUGUAAAGAUCUGUGAGUGGGGACGAAACGUGACGGUACCCACAGAGGAAGCACCGGUUAACUCCGUGCCAGCAGCCGCGGUAAGACGGGGGGUGCAAGCGUGGUCCGGAAUCAUUGGGCGUAAAGUGGUCGUAGGCGGCACGUAAAGUCUGGUGUUAAAGGCCGAGGCUCAACUUCUGUACGGCACUUGAUACUUGCGAGCUAGAAUGCGGUAGUGGUAACGGGCAUUCCUGGUGUAGCGGUGAAAUGCUUAGAUAUCAGGAGGAACAUCGGUGGCGUACGCGCUUUACUGUGCCGUAAUUGACGCUGAGGAACGAAAGCCAGGGUAGCAAAUGGGAUUAGAUACCCUGGUAGUC